rnacentral:rRNA from 1 species
GCCCGUGAGGUGUCGGCUUAAGUGCCAUAACGAGCGCAACCCCUUGUCAUUAGUUACCAUCAGGUCAAGCUGGGGACUCUAAUGAGACUGCCACCGUAAGGUGAGAGGAAGGGGGGGAUGACGUCAAAUCAGCACGGCCCUUAUGUCCGGGGCGACACACGUGUUACAAUGGGGGGUACAGAGGGCAGCCAUCCGGCGACGGAGCGCCAAUCUCAAAAACCCUUCUCAGUUCGGAUUGGAGUCUGCAACCCGACUCCAUGAAGUUGGAUUCGCUA